CUAUUUGUUGCUCAGUGGUAGAGCACGUGCCUGACAUGCAUGAGGCCUUGGGUUCCAUCGCUAACACUUAAA
rfam:Fukomys damarensis contig59117, whole genome shotgun sequence.